ACAAGCUGAAAACUGAUCAGGCCUGUAAUGCACAUUGGAAUCCAUCUCUUUUACUGCUGGAAACCUCAGAGAGAUGUCUUUCAUCAAACCGUGGAUCAACAAUACUAAUAGAGCCCUUUUCUCCUCUCUCCUGCUUCACACUUUUUCUGCAAAGAACACCUGAGACUGUGUGUUCUUCACCUCAGUCUGUCAUGAGGGGGGUUUCCCCUCUGUUCAAACCAGAAGGACCCAUUUGUUCCCUGAAGGAUCCCACUACUUGCCCUCAGUCACUGUGUCCAUCCA